GGGAAGGUGGCUCAGGGGUAGAGUGCUUGCCUUGCAUGCAUGAGGCCCUGGGUUCGAUUCCUCAGCACCCCA
rnacentral:tRNA from 1 species